rnacentral:rRNA from 1 species
ACUCCUACGGGAGGCAGCAGUGGGGAAUAUUGCACAAUGGGGGAAACCCUGAUGCAGCCAUGCCGCGUGUGUGAAGAAGGCCUUCGGGUUGUAAAGCACUUUCAGUAGGGAGGAAGGUAGUGUAGUUAACACCUGCAUUAUUUGACGUACCUACAGAAGAAAGCACCGGCUAACUCCUGCCAGCAGCCGCGGUAAUACGGAGGGUGCGAGCGUUAAUCGGAAUUACUGGGCGUAAAGCGCAUGCAGGCGGCCUGUUAAGUCAGAUGUGAAAGCCCGGGGCUUAACCUCGGAAUUGCAUUUGAAACUGGCAGGCUAGAGUCUUGUAGGAGGGGGUAGUAAUUUAUCAGGGUGUAGCGGUGAAAUGCGUAGAGAUCUGAAGG